UACGGGGGGGGCAAGCGUUGUUCGGAAUUACUGGGCGUAAAGGGCUCGUAGGCGGCCAACUAAGUCGGACGUGAAAUCCCCAGGCUCAACUUGGGAACUGCGUCUGAUACUGGAUGGCUUGAAUUCGGGAGAGGGAUGCAGAAUUCCAGGUGUAGCGGUGAAAUUCGUAGAUAUCAGGAGGAACACCAGUGGCGAAGGCGGCUUCCUGGACACCAACUGACGCUGAGACGCGAAAGCGUGGGGAGCAAACAGG
rnacentral:rRNA from 1 species